UUGAGGGGCCCAGAACUGAACACAGCAUUCGAGGUGCCUCACCAGUGCCCAGGGGGACAAUCACUUCCCUAGUCCUGCUGGUCACGCUAUUCCUGAUACAACCCAGGAUGACAGGAGCGGAGCAGGGCUAUGGAAUGCAGCUGUCACAAGCUGGGAGAUGUGAUACGUUGCAGGGGAGCUCGAGGUUUUAUGAGGAGCAUGUUGUACGGGCUGGGGUGAGGAUCACUGGGGGUACAGGGUGUUUCCUGGCUGCCCCAUGGCUGAAGGACACUGUGGGGCGAGGCGAGGAGGUGAUGGGACGUGGCCCUGGGAGUUUCCGUGUUUUCCCAGCACACCUAUAACCUGCCUUCCGCCUCUUUUCCACGUGUCCCAGCAGCCCCAGGCUGUCACCUUUGUGAGGCAGUGGUGAUUGUCAGCAUGUCCUCUCCGUGACACUGUCUCCCUUUUGGUCACACAGCUCUGAAAGUUGCCUGUUCAUAUUCUUACACACAUAUGACCUUUUUGUGGCCUCUUGUGAAAAAACUGGUUUACCCUAAAACUCAGAAUUCAGGCAGGAAAUGGUGAAUGUGUUGUUGAAUGUACUUCGAGUGCCACCGCAGCUUCUGGAAAAGCAGUGUGUGGUUACAAUGGGUUGAGGUCUCUUUUGGUUCCUGGUGUAAGUUUGCUUCAUAAAUUAAGGCAAAUAAUUUACAUUCCCAUGGUUUUCCUUUUUAUUAUGAGGAUGGAUUAGUAAUUCUGCAGAACCUGUUAAGUUGCUGGUUUUGAGUAACAAUGAGAUCAGCUCUAUGUAAAACAUCCUUUAAUAGCACAGAGCACAAAUAAUCACUCUAUUUUAAACUUCAUCCUAAAAACUGAGAAAACUACAUGCCUAUAGCUUCAUGAUUGACUGAAGUAGAUCUGAAUUUCAUUCUGUUUAUCCUGCUGACAUGUUUAUUCUGAAUACCACAUAGACUUCAGCUUGUUUCUCUCUAAUGGAUUUCACAUAUGUAUGAGUUAGGCAGGUUGUGCUACCUGCCUGUUCGAGCUGUGAAGUGACUCUAAAGAUGUGGUACAAUAGGCUGAAUAAAGUGACGCGCCUCUGAUUCACCUUGAUUUAUGGAAUGUAGGAGGUGUGGCAAAGCACAAGAGUGUGAAAGAAGGAAAAAAACAACUCCAGUCAGCAGCAAAGGAAAAUCUGGGUGAAGGUGAAUCACCCACUACAGUGGGGUCCUGGAUUCGUGAACCAGCCCCUCAAGCAGAAUCCAGGUCAGUGUUAGCUGAGCCACAAAUGGAUUUCUGGAGUCCUGCUUUAAGGAUGUGCUGACUCCUGUGUGAAACGGUGUCAUGACCAACAUCUACCAAACCACUUUCUUCUGAAAUGGUUCUUCUGUGUGUUUUGUUUUCCUUGCUACGUCACAAAUAGAAUACAAAUAAAGGGCUGUGAACUACUGAAGCUACUUGUGUCACUGAUGGAUGAGCUGAACUUUCCAGUAUUGUGGAAUGUCUAGAAGACAUUCAAGUUAUUUGCUUUAAUAAAGGUCUACCCAGGUAAAAGGCUUAAGAAUCUGUAUUAAAUAGUGUCAUGUGGCUUUUUACCUCAAAUUAUUAGUCUCUGAGCUUUAGGGGUCUGACAUUCUUGUUACUUUUCCUUCUUUCCACCCUUCUCUUCCACUCUGGAGGCGAGGGCUAACUGAGUUUAGCAAUGCAGGAAUUUCUUCUGCUUGUCGUUUUAAAAUAAGUCCAAGGUGGGGAUGCUGAUUUCUGUCAGGGUGACAGGAUGAACAGAUAAGGUUUCAGUGGUCUGAUUUUAAUAUGCUGUUCUCAAUGUGCCAGGGCCCUUAUUGUAUCUGCUGUCCUUCAAAUAAAAUCAAGUUGUCUAAGUGAACAACUUAAAUACCAAUAAAUGUCUGUGUGUGUUCGAGCUGCUGAACUGAUCUCUGUGUUUCUCUGCAGAGUGAACCUGGCAGUUGUCUACAUUCCUAGUGUGAGUUUUGAUGUCCAUUUGUGGGCUUCUAAAUGUAGGACAGAAGUCCCAUUUUACUGGGCACACGUGCACACAGCACCUCUGUUCAGUUCCUUUGCUGGAGCAGAGCAUUUUUGGCUGGGGAAUAGGGAGGGAGCAGCACUGGACACAGGGGAGCAGGUCAGGACACACUGUCCCAGGUCAUGGUGUGGGAGCCUCAACUUGGAUCUUGUUUGUUAUCCCAUAACUUUUGAAUUGUAAUGCAAAAACUGUUCUGUCUUCCCUGAAAAUGAAAAGUAAGGGCUGUAAACCAGCGGAGGGUUCAUGUAAUGUGAUGUGAAAUGCACCUGAUUUUCAUCUGGGUAAAUUCUUAAGUGUGGUCAGGUUUCCCCUGGGGCCUUAUCACUCUGUCACAAAAGUGACAUCGGGAUCUUGGAGCUGGCUGAUAUCUCUUUUUUUUGCUCUUGGAGUGGGGCAGAGGAAAGAAGGACUUGGGUAAUUCACGAUAAAGAAAUCCACAUCAACUGUAUUUAUUUAUUUUUAAAUAAUACUCAUGUUACACUCUUAUUCCUUGGUUUACUUGUGAUAUUUUAAACCCUCCAGCAGGUGCUGCUGCGUCCUGCAAAUGUCAUCUUCGUGAAGGGGAAAAAAAUUCAGUAGUUUAAUUUAAUACAACUUUGUUUAGUGCCAUGAAUAUUUCUGUGUUCUCUUUUCGUCCUCAAGCUAUUUACCAGCAGAGUUACUAAGGAGUGAGUUUUUAUGAUCCCAGCGUAUUUAAUCCUGCAAGUAAAAAGAGGUUGAAGAUCAGUGGGAGUUGCUGAUCAAGGUCAUGCUCAGAGCAAGUUGAACAGC